CUCUCUCUCUCUCUCUCUCUCUCUCUCUCUCUCUCUCUCUCUCUCUCUCUCUCUAAUAUUGAGGUUCAUCUCUUGUCCAUAACAAAAGGGCAUUUCUGUCUGGUUCCUCAGGUUGGUUGACUAACCCUAAAGCUGCAGGGGUUUUCACACAUUUCUCCAUUUCAUAUGUCACUACUCCUAUGUGGAAAGAUGUGUGUUAUUUAGGAAGCUCUCUUCUAUCCGAGUUUCUUUUAAUCUUUAUCAUCAUGUGUCAAGUCAUCCAGUUCUGGCACUAUCUUAGUGGUUGUUCUUUGUAUUCUUUCAAAUCUCUACAUGAAACAUCACUGAAUUAAUUAAGCUUAGCAGAAAUUAUGUGAUGUGCCCUACUGAUGCUGGUGUGAAGGUGAGGUGUUUGUAGUGAGCCGUGUGAUGCCUUCCCCAGUGCUGAAUAUGGAGAGGGCAGCCAGACCACGUACAGGCGACGCCACACACUGGAGUUUUUUGAAGUGGAGUGCGACCACUCUUCCAUCAAGCAAGUGGGAAGUGGACUGGCGCUGGUCCCUGUGUUGCACCGUCACCCAGACCAGCUGUCACCUGGCAGUACAGGCAGUGCCACGUAGUGUGUCACUCAGCCUGUUAUGUACUGCCCUUGGCACAGUGUGUGAUAUCAGACUGCAGGAGUGGAGCCUCUGGAGCAGCUGAUGGCUGACCUGGAGCUGGAGAAGAUGGUUCAGGAUGCCAGCAAGACAGCUCUUUGACACUUCCAGUAGUGGUAGAAGCCUCCCAUCACCACCCUCACUCCUCUGCCACUGCUGACCACAACACUGAGGCUGUAUUCUUCAGGACCUGAUUGUUGCUUGGACUUGAGGCUUCCCUGCUUGGGACUGGCAGUUCUGCAAACAGCUGUUAGUGACAGUGUCCGCAGGACAACAGUGUAGGUGGUGUCCUCUGGAGGUCCUUCACCUGCAUGGAACUAAGUCCACCUGUUGUAAUACUUGAAUGCGUAAGUGCUCAUCUUGAAGAUUUUAAUUACUGCAGUGGUCACCAUCUCAGACCUGACUGCCACAGGUACUUACUGUACACACUGCUAUCUAUAAUCCAGUGCUUAGCAGUUUCUUAGUUAUGGUUAUCAACUAUCUGGAUAAAUUUUACACAGCAACAUUAAAUUACAACAUGUACACAACAGCAAACUUUGGAGGGGUUUUAAGCAUUGCUACCAUCAGUCCGACCUAGCUAACCAACCUAACAACCUACCCUAACCUAACUCUUCCUCAACAAUGUAGAACAUAUAUUUAACCUCAACAAUGAAGAACAUGUUUAAAAUGAUUUUCUUUUUUCUAGAAGUUUGGAUCCCAAAGGGUGAGCAGAAAGAAAAUUUUUAUCUCCCAUUAUGCAACAAAGUCAUUUAGGGAAUUUGGUCAUAUUACUUAAAGCAGUGUCCAAAACAUUAGUUAACUAAAUUCCAUAUGCAAUUUACAGUUUGGUCAAGAUAAAAUAAUAAGCAAAUAUGCUAAUGGGCUAAUUUUUACUCCCACCAGUUUUCUAAUGUGGAUGAAACUAUUUAUUUCUCGUAUUUUUUGGCCUGUUUUGAAUCAAUAUGGUUCUUGUUUUUAUGGAAAUCAUUAGCCAUUAUUUUUUACUCCCUGGAAUACUAUGAUGAUUGGUGGCUGUGGGCACAUAACAGUUUAUAAACAAUGUCUCAUGGCAUUCUUGGUGAUAACACAAAGCCUUCCUGUGAUUGGCUGCCUUGCGUGUUACAUUGAAUCAGUGACAUAUCGCCUCCGGCAGCCAAUGAGCACUCUCAGAUGCAUCCUGAUGCAUCCUCUCCUCUGGGCAGCAAUGACUGCUGCCACUGCUGCUGCUUGAUCAAGGAGUGAGGAUCCACACUUCCAGAUUCUAACAAUGCAACACCAGACAUCUCUGUAAAGGAUUGACAUUGAUGAUUGACAAAUUUAAAACCUUUUGAGUGAAUGAAAUGCAAUAAAACUCAAGUGAAGACGU